rnacentral:rRNA from 1 species
UAUCUCUGUAGAGUCUGCAUAUCAAUAAGCGGAGGAAAAGAAACUAACAAGGAUUCCCUUAGUAACGGCGAGUGAAGCGGGAAGAGCUCAAAUUUGAAAUCUUCAAGGUUUUACCUUGACGAAUUGUAGUUUAAAGAAGUGUUUUCUGUUGAAGUUUCGGUAAAAGUUCUUUGGAAUAGGACAUCAUAGAGGGUGAGAAUCCCGUAUUUGACCGUUAUUUUCAGCUGUGUGAUACACUUUCAAAGAGUCGGAUUGUUUGGGAAUGCAGUCCAAAAUGGGUGGUAAAUUUCAUCUAAAGCUAAAUAUUGGCGAGAGACCGAUAGCGAACAAGUACCGUGAGGGAAAGAUGAAAAGAACUUUGAAAAGAGAGUUAAACAGUACGUGAAAUUGUCAAAAGGGAAGCGUUUGACACCAGUGUUGUUUUCUCGAAAAUCAAUUAAAAAUGGCCUGAUUUUGUGUUGUAUUGACCUUAAAAGCUUUCUUCACUUUUUCCAUGUCUUUUUUAAUGCACUUUUCGUUUAACAAGUCAACAUCAGUUUCUUUUGUUGUAAAAAGGUCAUUGGAAGGUGGCUUUCUUUUCGGAGAAAGUGUUUAUAGCCUUUGACUUCUGCAAUCGGAGAGACUGAGGUCUGCAGCGUAGAUCCUUCUGGAUUAGAUUCAUUUGUGCUAAGUUACAACCGUUUAUAGACAACUUGUUGACUAUAUUCGAUCCUGUAGCUUACUCGCUUAUGUAAUUUUACCUACGCUUAGGAUGUUGAUAUGCAUGACUGAUAU